rnacentral:rRNA from 1 species
AUUGAACGCUGGCGGCAGGCUUAACACAUGCAAGUCGAGCGAGCGGCGGACGGGUGAGUAAUGUCUGGGCAACUGCCUGAUGGGGGGGGAUAACUACUGGAAACGGUAGCUAAUACCGCAUACCAUCAGAUGUGCCCAGAUGGGAUUAGCUAGUCGGUGGGGUAAUGGCUCACCUAGGCGACGAUCCCUAGCUGGUCUGAGAGGAUGACAAGCAACAUGGGAACGGAGAAACGGUCCAGACUCCUACGGGAGGCAGCAGGGGGGAAUAUUGCACAAUGGGCGAAAGCCUGAUGCAGCCAUGCGGCGUGUGUGAAGAAGGCUUUCGGGUUGUAAAGCACUUUCAGCGAGGAGGCGUUACUCGCAGAAGAAGCACCGGCUAACUCCGUGCCAGCAGCCGCGGUAAUUC